rnacentral:lncRNA from 1 species
AUUGAUUAACUCAAUUUUAUAAUAUGCAGGAACGCAAGAACGCCAGCAGUAAAUAAAGUUCCCUUCUUCGUCUCUCCAUCGUCAGAUCUUCCUCUCAACUCUCAGAUUCUUCAAACUCAAUAGCCAAUCCUCUAUCAGUUCUCACUCUCCUAGCGCGCCAAAUACAAAUCCACCCCCAAGAACACAGGUACACCCUACCCACCCACGUCCUAUAUAUAUAUAAUAUAUAUAUUCAUCUAUGUAUAAGUAGUUGAUAAAAUCCGUCUUUUCAGUGAGAGCACUCUAAAUUGCUUAGUUUUGUUUACAGCCAUUGUCAAUCACUUUGUGUUGGUGGUUUUUUAAUGGGAUUUUUUUGUUGUUGAGCUAGGGUUUUGAUUUCUGUGAAAGAAUGGCGGAUAGUCCCGGUGGCAGUGGGAGUCAUGAGAGUGGCGGCGGCGUGGAUAGGAGCCCACGUUCGAGCAUUCGGGAGCAGGAUCGUUUCCUCCCAAUCGCGAACAUAGGUCGCAUCAUGAAGAAGGCGCUGCCCACU